rnacentral:tRNA from 1 species
ACCUGGCUGGCUCAGUCGGUGGAGCAUGUGACUCUUGAUCUCAAGGUCAUGAGUUCAAGCCCCGUGUUGGGCA